rnacentral:rRNA from 1 species
UACAGAGGGGGCAAGCGUUAUUCGGAAUUAUUGGGCGUAAAGGGCGCGUAGGCGGCCUGGCAAGUGGAAGGUGAAAUCCCUCGGCUUAACCGAGGAACUGCCUCCCAAACUGCUUGGCUUGAGACCAGGAGAGGUGAGUGGAAUUCCCAGUGUAGCGGUGAAAUGCGUAGAUAUUGGGAGGAACACCAGUGGCGAAGGCGGCUCACUGGACUGGUACUGACGCUGAGGUGCGAAAGCGUGGGGAGCAAACAGG